UGAGGAAUAUUGGGCAAUGCCCGCAAGGGUGACCCAGCAACGCCGCGUGGAGGAUGAAUGUCGUAAGAUUGUAAACUCCUGUUAGAGGGGAAGAAUAGUACCGGUUGGACCGGUAUAUGACUGUACCCUCAGAGAAAGCCCCGGCUAACUACGUGCCAGCAGCCGCGGUAAUACGUAGGGGGCAAGCGUUGUCCGGAUUUACUGGGUGUAAAGGGCGCGCAGGCGGGAUAAAAAGUCAGUGUUGAAAUCCUACAGCUUAACUGUAGAACUGCCUUUGAUACUUUUAUUCUUGAGUUCGGGAGAGAGAGACGGAAUUCCAGGUGUAGUGGUGAAAUACGUAGAUAUCUGGAAGAACACCAGUUGCGAAGGCGGUCUCUUGGUCCGACACUGACGCUGAGGCGCGAAAGCGUGGGGAGCAAACA
rnacentral:rRNA from 1 species